UACGUAGGGCGCAAGCGUUAUCCGGAAUUAUUGGGCGUAAAGAGCUCGUAGGCGGUCUGUCGCGUCUGCUGUGAAAUCCCGAGGCUCAACCUCGGGCCUGCAGUGGGUACGGGCAGACUAGAGUGCGGUAGGGGAGAUUGGAAUUCCUGGUGUAGCGGUGGAAUGCGCAGAUAUCAGGAGGAACACCGAUGGCGAAGGCAGAUCUCUGGGCCGUAACUGACGCUGAGGAGCGAAAGCGUGGGGAGCGAACAGG
rnacentral:rRNA from 1 species